rnacentral:rRNA from 1 species
GACGGAGGGUGCUAGCGUUGUUCGGAAUUACGGGGCGUAAAGGGCGCGUAGGCGGCCGCUUGCGUCGGAUGUGAAAGCCCGGGGCUCAACCCCGGAACGGCAUCCGAUACGGGGCGGCUCGAGACCGAGAGAGGUGAGUGGAAUACCCAGUGUAGAGGUGAAAUUCGUAGAUAUUGGGUGGAACACCGGUGGCGAAGGCGGAUCUCUGGGCCGAUACUGACGCUGAGGAGCGAAAGCGUGGGGAGCGAACAGG